UGUCCCUACGGGAGGCAGCAGUGGGGAAUAUUGCACAAUGGGGGAAACCCUGAUGCAGCGACGCCGCGUGAAGGAUGAAGUAUUUCGGUAUGUAAACUUCUAUCAGCAGGGAAGAAAAUGACGGUACCUGACUAAGAAGCCCCGGCUAACUACGUGCCAGCAGCCGCGGUAAUACGUAGGGGGCAAGCGUUAUCCGGAUUUACUGGGUGUAAAGGGAGCGUAGGUGGCAGGGCAAGUCAGAUGUGAAAACCCGGGGCUCAACUCCGGGAGUGCAUUUGAAACUGUCCAGCUAGAGUGCAGGAGAG
rnacentral:rRNA from 1 species